CCUUCCCUGUUGCUUCGCUAAUCGUAAUUCCAAGUACAUGUAGGCACCAACUAGAAUCAUUGCACAUUGUGGCCUUCAUAGCUUAAGUAUAAACGCGUCGGGUCACAGUUUAACAUCACUUACCUCAGACAAAGCAACUGAUAAACAACUAAAAUGUUCAAACUGUUCGUCUUUGCCUGUUUCCUGGCCCUAGCUGCCGCCAAGCCACUGCUGCCUGUGGCAUACACAGCACCUGUAGCAGCAGCGUACACUGCUCCCAUAGCAGCUGCAUACACAGCACCCGUAGCGUAUUCAGCAUACACUGCUCCAUAUGCUGCGUACUCCGCCUACACUUACGCUUCUCCAUACUCUGCUUACUAUUUCCGUUGAACAUGAUUACUAUCGACUGGCCGAAAAUAUUUAAACAACUAAUUACAAAAUGUAUCUGUAAUUACAAAUAAAUUUUGUUCAAGUAAAACGUUACCUAUGAAGUUUUUUAAUCUUUAUUCACAUAAUGAAUCUUUAUUGUUUUAUGUUUAACGAUAAAUUCUCUUCGACACAAAUAUAAUAUGUCAUACAACCGUCAACCUCAACGCGUUGUCAAGCAUGUAAUAAAUACAGCUUGUUUUUCUUUAAUGGUUUUUUAAACGGUUUAAUUUAGCUU
rnacentral:misc_RNA from 1 species